CCAGCUUUGAGUUGUGUUGGGUAGGUCUGUACCAGCUUUGAGUUGUGUUGGGUAGGUCUGUACCAGCUUUGAGUUGUCUUGGGUAGGUCUGUACCAGCUUUGAGUUGUCUUGGGUAUGUCUGUUCCAGCUUUGAGUUGUGUUGGGUAGGUCUGUUCCAGCUUUGAGUUGUGUUGGGUAGGUCUGUACCAGCUUUGAGUUGUCUUGGGUAGGUCUGUACCAUCUUUGAGUUGUCUUGGGUAGGUCUGUACCAGCUUUGAGUUGUCUUGGGUAUGUCUG